CGCUGGCGGCAGGCUUAACACAUGCAAGUCGAGCGGGCGUAGCAAUACGUCAGCGGCAGACGGGUGAGUAACACGUGGGAACGUACCUUUUGGUUCGGAACAACUGAGGGAAACUUCAGCUAAUACCGGAUAAGCCCUUACGGGGAAAGAUUUAUCGCCGAAAGAUCGGCCCGCGUCUGAUUAGCUAGUUGGUGAGGUAACGGCUCACCAAGGCGACGAUCAGUAGCUGGUCUGAGAGGAUGAUCAGCCACACUGGGACUGAGACACGGCCCAGACUCCUACGGGAGGCAGCAGUGGGGAAUAUUGGACAAUGGGCGCAAGCCUGAUCCAGCCAUGCCGCGUGAGUGAUGAAGGCCCUAGGGUUGUAAAGCUCUUUUGUGCGGGAAGAUAAUGACGGUACCGCAAGAAUAAGCCCCGGCUAACUUCGUGCCAGCAGCCGCGGUAAUACGAAGGGGGCUAGCGUUGCUCGGAAUCACUGGGCGUAAAGGGUGCGUAGGCGGGUCUUUAAGUCAGGGGUGAAAUCCUGGAGCUCAACUCCAGAACUGCCU
rnacentral:rRNA from 1 species